rnacentral:rRNA from 1 species
GAUCAUGGCUCAGGAUGAACGCUAGCUACAGGCUUAACACAUGCAAGUCGAGGGGCAGCGGGAAGUCAGCUUGCUGACUUUGCCGGCGACCGGCGCACGGGUGAGUAACGCGUAUGCAACCUGCCCGAUACCGGGGUAUAGCCCAUGGAAACGUGGAUUAACACCCCCAUAGUACUUUUAUCCUGCAUGGGAUGUGAGUUAAAUGUUCAAGGUAUCGGAUGGGCAUGCGUCCUA